UACGGAGAGUGCAAACGUUGUUCGGAUUCACUGGGCGUAAAGGGCACGUAGGCGGCUUGGCAAAUCGGUCGUGGAAUCCCGACGCUUACCGUCGGAACGGCGGCCGAAAAUACCGAGCUCGAGGGCGUGAGGGGUCACUGGAACCCCUGGUGAAGCGGUGAAAUGCGUAGAUAUCAGGAGGAACGCCGGAGGCGAAAGCGAGUGACUGGCGCGUUCCUGACGCUGAGGUGCGAAAGCUAGGGGAGCGAACAGG
rnacentral:rRNA from 1 species